rnacentral:misc_RNA from 1 species
GAUGAAGAACGCAGCGAAUUGCGAUAAGUAAUGUGAAUUGCAGAUUUUCAGUGAAUCAUCGAAUCUUUGAACGCACCUUGCGCUCCUUGGUAUUCCGGGGGGCAUGCCUCUUCCAGCGUCAUUUCACCCCUCAAGCUCUGCUUGGUUUUGGGCCGCGCCGGCAACGGCGGGCCUCGAAAAUAGUGGCGACGCCAUCGUGCUCUCAGCGUAGUAAUUCUUCUCGCUGUUGGGUCCCGGUGGUCGUCCGCCAGCAACCCCCAACUUUCUUAAGUUUGACCUGGGAUGAGGUAGGGAUACCCGCUGAACUUAAGCAUAUCAAUAAGCGGAGGA